rnacentral:tRNA from 1 species
GCCGUCUCGGCCCUGGCGGAGACCUUCGCGGGCUGGCGGCUCGGGCCCGACGCGGUCGUCGGCGUGCAGCUCGGUUCGGGGCCGGAGGCGGCGC